UACGGAGGGUGCGAGCGUUGUCCGGAAUCACUGGCGUAAGGCGCGUAGGUGCGCGGCAGUCACGGUGAAAGUCGGCUCAACCUGAAUCGCCGUCGAUACUCCGUGCUGAGCACUGUAGAGCUAUGAUCGGUGUAGCGUGAUGCGUAGAGAUCGAGACACGUGCGAGCGUAGCUGGCAGUGCUGACACUGAGCGCGACGAGCGUGGAGCAACAGG
rnacentral:rRNA from 1 species